rnacentral:lncRNA from 1 species
CAAAGACUCGUUAUAGGUUUAACGCCAGUCCCCAUCAACGAUUUUUUGUGAUAUACCCGCCUAAACCCCAAACCAAAACCCAAAACUGAUGAAUGGGAAGGGCAUGUUCAAAACCUUUGUAUGCCCUUUCCCUCCACCCUCAAGCCACCCAUUCCUUCUCCACAACCGCCAUCUCCGCCGCCUCACAAGAUUUCAUAUCCCUAUGCUCCAAAGGCCAUCUCAAACAAGCCUUCACCAUCUAUUUCUCCCACAUUUGGUCGGACCCACCUCUCUUCUCCCACCUCCUCAAGGAAUGCAUCGAACGCCACUCUUUCCCGCUUGCACAACAGCUCCAUUCCCUCAUAAUAACUGCCGGGUGUUCCCGGGACCGCUUCGUUUCCAACCAUUUAAUGAGCGCUUAUUCAAAAUUGGGCCAUUUGAAAGGAUCUGUAAAAGUGUUUGAUAAAAUGCCUAACAGAAAUGUUAUGUCCUUUAACAUUUUGAUUGGUGGGUAUAUACAGAGUGGGGAGUUGGAUUGUGCGAUUGAGCUUUUUGAACAAAUGAUUGAGCGAAAUUUGGCCACUUGGAAUGCGAUUAUUACGGGGAUGGUUCAGUUUGAGUUUAAUGAGGAGGCGCUGAAUAUGUUCUCGAGAAUGCACUCUCUUGGGUUUUUGCCUGAUUACUAUGCUCUAGGGAGUGCGUUGAGAGGCUGUGCUGGAUUGAAAGAUUUGAGUAGGGGGAAUCAGAUUCAUGGGUAUUCAGUGAGAUCGGGGUUGGAGUUUGAUUUGGUUGUUGGAAGUUCGUUGGCUCAUAUGUAUAUGAAGUGUGGUAGCUUGAGAGAAGGUGAGAGAGUGAUUCAGUCUAUGCCAGUUCAUAACAUUGUUGCUUGUAAUACACUUAUUGCUGGCAAAUCUCAGAAUGGGUGUUCCGAGGGUGCUUUGAAUCAGUACAAGAUAAUGAGAAUGGCUGGCUUUAGGCCGAAUAAAAUCACUUUGGUGAGCAUUAUCAGUUCAUGUUCUGAGCUAACAACACUUGGACAAAGCCUGCAGGUUCAUGCUGAGGUGAUAAAAGCUGGGGCCACGUUGGAUGUUUCAGUUGUUAGUUCAUUAGUUAGCAUGUAUUCACGGUGUGGGUGUUUAGAUGAUGCUGUGAAAGUUUUUGACCAGAGGGAGGGAGCUGAAAAUGAUCUGGUUUUGUGGAGUUCAAUGAUUUCUGCUUAUGGGUUUCAUGGGAAAGGAAAGGAGGCUGUUGAAGUGUUUAAAAGGAUGGAGCAUGUAGGAUUGAAACCAAAUGAAGUCACUUUCUUGAGUUUGCUAUAUGCUUGUAGUCAUUGCGGAUUGAAAGAUGAAGGGCUUCAAUAUUUCGACUUGAUGGUAAAGAAGUAUGGACUGGAGCCUCGGUUAGAACAUUAUACCUGUGUGGUUGAUCUCCUUGGUAGAGCAGGCUGUUUGGCAGAGGCAGAAAGCCUGAUCAGAUCCAUGCCUGUAAAGCCUGAUACUGUUACAUGGAAAACUUUACUAUCAGCUUGUAAAAUCCAUAAGAAUGCUGACCUGUCUAGAAGAAUUGCUGAGGAAAUUGUUAAAAUGGAUCCUCAAGAUUCAGCUUCUUAUGUGCUGCUUUCAAAUAUCCAAGCUUCUGCUAAAAGAUGGCAUGAUGUUUCAGAGGUGAGGAAAGCAAUGAGGGAAAGAAUGGUCAAGAAAGAGCCGGGGAUAAGCUGGUUUGAGCUGAAGAAUGAAAUUCACCAUUUUGUUAUGGGCGAUAAAUCUCAUCCUCAGUCUAAAAAGAUCGACUUGUAUUUGACAGAACUGAUGGCCGAACUGAAGUUGCAUGGUUAUGUGCCCGAUUUAGGUGCUGUUUUGCAUGACAUGGAUGUGGAGGAAAAGGAGUAUAACUUAGGACAUCACAGUGAAAAACUGGCUAUUGCUUUUGCUCUGAUGAAUAUGCCGCUGGGUGUUCCAAUAAGGAUAAUGAAGAAUUUGCGGGUCUGCGGUGAUUGCCAUGUUGUUAUGAAGUACAUAUCCAAGGUUAAAAACAGAGAAAUUACUGUACGGGAUGCCAGUAGGUUUCACCAUUUCAAAAAUGGACAUUGUUCUUGUGGGGAUUACUGGUGAGGUGAGUUUCUCUCUUUUAAAGUAGAUGGUACUAAUUAUAUACACCAUACUUAUAAGCUGUAGUGAUAUUCAUCACAAGAGGGGAUAACAAUUCGACUGGUGCCAUGCUUAAAAUUUAACAUAUCCAAGGUUAAAAACAGAGAAAUUAUUGUAUGGGAUGCUAGUAGGUUUCACCAUUUCAAAAAUGGACAUUGUUCUUGUGGGGAUUACUGGUGAGGUGAGGAUCUCUCUUUUAAAGUAGAUGGUAGUAAUUAUAUACACCAUACUUGUAAGCUGUAGUGAUAUUCAUCACAAGGGGGGGUUACAAUUCGGUUGAUGCCAUACUUAAAAUUUCUUUCUGAUUUUUCCAAAUGUUACUGACAGUUUUAUGAUAGAUUUUCUUUUCCUUCUUUUUGCUCAAUUUCUAUUAACAGAUUCGUCUACCUCCC